rnacentral:lncRNA from 1 species
GCAAAUUCUGUUUUUUAUUAUUGUCUUGGCAUCUUGAUAUCUAGACCACUCCUACAAGUUUAUCUGGCAGUAGGAACUUGGUGCAUUUUUUUCUACGCUACACCCCCCCACCCUUAAUCUUUCUUUGCUGUCAUAAUAUUCAGUAGCAUUUAUAAAAGCUGUCUAGUUAGCUCUUUAAAAACUUUUGUCCUGCAAAAUGUUUGUUAGUCAACACACUACUUUGUGUAAACAACUAUUAUGUUUCCUUGGGACCAUCACAAGCUCUUUAACAAACACAAGGACUCAAUUCAUUCAGCAGGUGGGGAUUAAAGAAUCAAAGCCCAGUAGCAAAACCAAAACUGAAGAACAAGCAGACAUGUGUAUGAAUCGGAACCUUUAGAACAUGACUGUGGUUUACUUUUAGGCUGGAGGCACACAAGUUGCUGAACAGACUUGAAUUAUACAUGUGCUUCCAUCUUUCCAUGUUUCCGCUCCUAUUUUGGUAGCAUCUUGAGAUUCCUUGAUGCCUCCGCCAUCCUCAUCCCUGAGGAACUGCUGAUACCUUGCUAUGGAACCUCUUCUUUCUUUCAUGCUUUUUAUUCCGUAUCUUCUGUUUUGGACAUACAUACAUAUAUUCUAUAAAAUCUCUCUCAGCCCACCCCCUGCAUUAGGAUUUCCAUAUUUAAAAUAUUUGUACACUGACUGGGGAAGGGAGAGAUUGCACUAUAAACAAGUUCAGUGGAUGUUUGUAGCAAUGAGUAAAACUGUAUUCUAAAUUAAAAAUCAAAUAUAUAUACACGCAGUUAUACACACACAUUUUUUAAAAGGAGGAGGAGGAAAGAGAGCUAUUGUCCAUUCCUACAUUUUGAAAUAAACUUGUCAAGAUUACGCAUCAGUACCAGGGUUGUGGAAUCAUCUAUGGAAAUCAAGAACUAGAAUCUGAACUGAAUGGUCAAAGAAACUUCUAUGCCUAGUGAAAACUAGAGGGGAGCAACUAUGUAGCUAUGAACAUGAAUCAAUUCCAUAACUGUUACUAAAAACUUAUUUUGACUAAAAAGUCACCAACACAGAACUAUUGAACACAAACAGGAAUUGUUUGUCUUACUGAAGUCACUGAGAACCCUUGGGGUUCACUUCAGAUGCUUUUUUGGUUCAACUUCCCACCACCAGAAAAGGGAAAAGUGAUUGAUUUCGUGUGUGAGGUACUCAUCUGUCAGAACCCUUAAUGUUUCCUAUUAAGUGAAUGACAACUUCCAUACAUACACUAUUUAUACCAAAUAAUUUUCACUACAAAUUCUGAUUUCCUUCUCCUUUGGAGUAAAGUAAUAGCUGUUAGAUUGCUUUCAAACUUAGAAGGUCCAGAUAUAACAGUUCAUUUCAUAGGAAGCCACUUCAUCAACCAUUCUAUGUGAUACAUCCUGCUUCUUUCUACACCGCUGGAGAGGCAGUUUGGCUGGUUUCAUUUGGAUAGAAAAAACUAUCAUUUGUGCAUGCUGCCAUCUAGUGGUGUACAACACAAUCUAACCUGAGUUUAAUAUUCACUAGAAUGUGUUUGACGAAGGGAAUGAAAACCUGUAGAGUUCAAGGACCUUUAUGACAAACAGAUGUAGGGAAAUUUUCACUUCAAAUUUAUAAUUUUCUUAUUCUCACUUUUUUUUCAUUUGCAUCACUCAUCUCAAUAUUAGGUCACUGUGAGCCCAGUACAUCAACUCAUUCAUACACAACAUAUCUUCAGUUGCUUCUUGUAACAGAACUAUGUAAAAUCUAUAUAAAACAGUCUUUGAAGAGUUGUCAUUUUUAACACUUAUGGUUUUCAUUGGGGUUUGUAUACUUUAAAUCUCCUUUUAGUUCCUUAAUAUUUAUCUUUGGAAAUGUAAGAAGUAUCUGCUUAGAAAGAAAUAAGUCUUAUAUAUGCGAAUGGAAUACUAUGUCUAGGGAAGAGAAAAUUGGGGUUGUUAAUCAAAGGGAAGAAAGCAGCUUCUUUUCUGCUGAAUUUGGGAAUCCAAAGGCAGAGGUUUCAUCCUGUUUUUAUUUUCUUCUUAUCACACUCUUUCAAGUUUCCUUAAUGUAUCUGGAAGGAAUAGAAGUUGGAUUCAGAAUUGAUAACUGGCAUGGUGAUGACAAACCUGUGUAACACCAAGGUUCUCACAGCUAACAGCUGUUUCACAAACGGCAUCUUCCAAAUGAACAGUCACCUCUGCUAUGCAGAAAACCCCCAUCCUGCUGUGAGCAAGUUAGGCUCUUCAAGAACUGGACAACUUUUGGGUGAGGUGUUCAAUAUCAAACUGCAUAAUCAUUAGCCAUUUUCAUAUAUACUAUUUUAUAGAUUUAAGUCUCUCAACUAUCAAAAAGUAGAGCGAUUUUCAGGAGAAAAAAGUCGUGGGGACUGAGUUCAGGACACCCUGAAACUAUGCGACCAGUAAUUUUUUUAAGGUAUUUUUUCCUACAAGUAAGGUAUCUGAAAAGUCAACGUUUUGAGGGUGGAAUCAAGACUUUUCACUUCUCCUGGCAAAGAGCAACAAGGCUCUUGUCUCGUGUCCUUCUGUGUGUCUCUGUCAGGAUCACAGCAGCUGUGCUCUUGGUCUGCUUACUCCUCUGUAAUCCACGUAUGCAGAAGGGAGUUAAUAAGGUGAUCACCAUCUCCCCAGAAUUCAAAGGUCUUUGCCUCUAUAAGGUCUGCCCCUAUGGGGCCAGGAAAAUAUAAACCUAUAUAAGGACUUGCAAGAGAGCAUAAAGAAGGUAGAAAAGGUUUACUUGUUGGGUUUUCAAGCCUUCAAGUUGAAUGAGUCUUAGCUUUUGCUGGGCAGUUGUUCUGGACAAGUCAUCAGUUUCAUGUGGAGAACUCAGUGUAAGCCCAAGGCUAAUGAAUGAGAGGGGUCCCAUGGAAACACAGCUGAAAUGAAAUGGGACUUUAUCCAUCUUCUUUGAGAAUGGAAGAGCUUUUGUGAAGCAGUACAUCAUUGCUCAAGAUAAUGGUUGAUAAGCAUUAGAUUUUAUAGAUCUAAUAAGGAAAAUAUUUUAUUAUCUCAAGUUAACAAAACAUUUUUUUACCUCUCGAGUGCCUCAUAGGACCAACUAUUACUCUUUGGCUUUUAUUUUUCUUUUUGUAUUAUUUUUAUAUAUUCUUUAACCUUGCUGAGCUAGUAUUGACUGAAAUCUUUAGAACUUUGCCUCUGGGCAAUGAAGUAAUGUUUCUCUACCCUAAGAUAUCUAUUUGUAUAAUCUCUGGCUGUAAUGAUCACUUUGGAAGAUUUCCUUUGCAUCUCUAAUUAUUUCUUUUUAAUGGAAUAAGGCAUAAGGGGGAAUAAAUAUAUUGUAACCAAUGUUAUGUAAACCCAUAUCCAUACAGGCCAGGAAAGCCAAAUGAAGUCAUUUCCAGAAUUCUAGUGUGAAAAACCUAUUUUUGAAAAGUGGGGAGAUGGCUUUGUGUAGAACUGGGUGGGUUUUCUCUGCAGACUAAGUCUAGCCAUGAGCUUCCAGAUCCUUUAGUUUUAUCAGCCUUGUGCUUACCCCAUUUUCAUAAAUGCUACUUUAACAGCCAGUCUUCAUAAGUCAUGGUUCCUAGGUUUUCCUGUCACCUCAUUGUAUUCAUCUGUGGUAGGAUAUUAACGGGCUCAUUCAACCAAAUGUAAUGUGUGCCUCAGACCUAUUUAGCAUGGUUGGGGGGCAUCAGCAGGACAAACCAACAGGUACUCCGCAAGUGUACUGGCACAGCAAGCCCACCAAUUAUUAGCAGCUCUUCAUCAGCCUGCUGUCUACUCAGACGCUUGCCUACUGAAGGGACCUGUCCAGAGAUCUUCUGGAAUCCCAGGUUGGGAAUCUCUGCAGAAUGUCGUGACAGUUGUGGCCCAACUAGCUUCUGAGUAGAAACAAGGAAGCUACCCUGAGAUAUAGUCAGCUGCCCACCUGCCAUAGUAUUUGCUACUGAAUGCCAGCCUUUUAACAUACCAUUUCAGAUUUGUCCUUCAACAAAAAUAUAAAUUGCAAGUCAUACCAUUUAAGGGUCUUUUACAAAUAUGUCUAAAUUGUGUGUCAUUUUUAAGUUCCAAAGGUCUACUGGACUAAGUACUAUCAGACCAGCUGUAGAACCUGAUGGCGCUGAUCCGGGGUGGAAUAACCCUCAGUACUGGUGUGUAGAAGAUGAAUUGUAGGCAGGUUUUGCUGAUCAGCAGCCUAAGGAUUGAUGGGCUCUCUUUUGGCCUCUGAUCCUGAGCACUAUGGAGGCAGCAUCAGAGAAUGGGGACCUGAGCUACAUAGGUUCUCAAUGUUAAAACAACUCUGUUCGGAGUGACAUAUAAGAGCAAGAAAUCUACAGCUGGUGUAAAAUACCUUUGCCUUUUCUAUCCCGAAAGUAACAAAUGGCAUCUGUACAUGUAGGGGUAAAAACUCAGAUGUCUACUCCUCCAGGCCAUGGACAAGAAAAAGUACAGCAGUCAGAACAGUGGAACAAGUGAUUUGCAUUCUCUUCUUCACGCUUUCCUAGAUCUGCCAUUGGUAGCGCAGCCCUCGCCCUCCAGACAUAAUGCAUCGAGCCCAGUUGCAGGGAACAUCACUGUGUGUGUGUGAUGUCAUGGUGUUAUAUGUGUUGAGUUUAAUGUUGAGCUGAAGCAAGUUGGUGACCUUCCUCUUUGCUCUUUGUAAAGAAGACACCAAUGUUUGUCAGAGAAAAAUCCCCAGCAGUCGUGUUGAAGAGGCAGUGUCAUCCACCUACUGUCCCCUUUGGAACAGUUCAACUGCAGAAAGGUCGGAUUGAGGUUUUGUGCUUUGUCGUUUUUCUUUUUUAAACAAAACAUGACAACCUUGGCUUUUCCGAUAUGGAACACUUUUGUUGUUGUGGAGUUCCCUCUUGCUGUAUCUUCUAUGCAAUUCCUUUUCUAAAAAAACCCCCCGGCAGAGGCAGAGUGCCCUCCGGAUAUCUGUCCGGCGCCUUGCUGAGUGGUGGAGGUGAGGGAUACCAGCUCCGGGUGUGCCUCUUUUCUCUCCCUGGCUGCCAAUCCUGAUUUUCCCUGCAGUCCCCUUGGUUUGUAAAUUGCCUGCAUUUAUUCUGUCAGCCAACAUGUACAAAAUGUAAGAAAGAAUUUUUAAACAGGUAAUAAAUUAUAUUUAUAAGCAA